rnacentral:rRNA from 1 species
ACACAUGCAAGUCGAACGGAAAGGCCCAGCUUGCUGGGUACUCGAGUGGCGAACGGGUGAGUAACACGUGGGUGAUCUGCCCUGCACUCUGGGAUAAGCCUGGGAAACUGGGUCUAAUACCGGAUAUGACCAACUGUCGCAUGGUGGUUGGUGGAAAGCUUUUGCGGUGUGGGAUGGGCCCGCGGCCUAUCAGCUUGUUGGUGGGGUAAUGGCCUACCAAGGCGACGACGGGUAGCCGACCUGAGAGGGUGAUCGGCCACACUGGGACUGAGACACGGCCCAGACUCCUACGGGAGGCAGCAGUGGGGAAUAUUGCACAAUGGGCGCAAGCCUGAUGCAGCGACGCCGCGUGAGGGAUGACGGCCUUCGGGUUGUAAACCUCUUUCACCAGGGACGAAGCGUGAGUGACGGUACC